rnacentral:rRNA from 1 species
AUUGAACGCUGGCGGCAUGCCUUACACAUGCAAGUCGAACGGCAGCAUGAUCUAGCUUGCUAGAUUGAUGGCGAGCGGUGAACGGGUGAGUAAUACAUCGGAACGUGCCCUGUAGUGGGGGAUAACUAGUCGAAAGAUUAGCUAAUACCGCAUACGACCUGAGGGUGAAAGUGGGGGACCGCAAGGCCUCAUGCUAUAGGAGCGGCCGAUGUCUGAUUAGCUAGUUGGUGAGGUAAAGGCUCACCAAGGCGACGAUCAGUAGCUGGUCUGAGAGGACGAUCAGCCACACUGGGACUGAGACACGGCCCAGACUCCUACGGGAGGCAGCAGUGGGGAAUUUUGGACAAUGGGCGAAAGCCUGAUCCAGCAAUGCCGCGUGUGUGAAGAAGGCCUUCGGGUUGUAAAGCACUUUUGUCCGGAAAGAAAUGGCUCUGGUUAAUACCUGGGGUCGAUGACGGUACCGGAAGAAUAAGGACCGGCUAACUACGUG